rnacentral:lncRNA from 1 species
GUCUAAGUUAAUAUUUUGAGAUACCGAAAAAGUACAUUAUGCGUAAUGCGCUAUCACAAAAACAGGUUCAACCACUAACAGAGACAAGUUGUUUCUGUAGAGAACAGAAAGGAGAUCUGAUACAAACUAAAUCGGAACCGAAUUGUUCAUUAAAAUACGUCAUACUGCGUCUUGGCGUUUAGCAAAGUAGCGGAGAGGAAGAGGAGGUAUAAGGCUGUAAGAGGGCAAAAACCUGGUGCAGACUCUCAGGUCAGAUGGUGAGGGCUGAUUGCGGGAGGUGGACAAGAAGUCUGGCCUAAUGACUAAGGACAGCUAACGCCUAACUCCGUUCCUCAUCACUCCACCUGGGUGACCGAUGCCGCUACCUCUUUGUCAUUCAGUAGCCCUCUUUACCUGUUUUGGCCUCGCUGCUAGGGCUGUCGCCGAGCUUACACGGACUCCAGGUGAUGAGUUUUUCUUGAGUCACUGCAAAGGCAGUUUCACUAGGCUUCACUUUUCUUUCUCGCGGUUUUCGGCCAGGUCUCUCCUGAGACACUCCUAUCUCCCGGUCCCGACACCAGCACCAAGCGCUCAGGUAAACGUCCCAAGUAAGACAAAGGCAAUCUACAUCAGGGCCUGCUAGCGGCGUGAAGGAGGGAGGGACUCAGAGCAUCAAAGUCAGUCCACAACGGGCGGGGUUCAGUUAAAUUGUGUCUCCAGCGAUCUAUUAGACCCGUCCUCUUCAAUAUGGCGCAUUGAACCCGGC